UACGGGGGGGGUAAGCGUUGUUCGGAAUUACUGGGCGUAAAGGGCUCGUAGGCGGCCAACUAAGUCAGACGUGAAAUCCCUCAGCUUAACUGGGGAACUGCGUCUGAUACUGGAUGGCUUGGAUUCGGGAGAGGAAUGCGGAAUUCCAGGUGUAGCGGUGAAAUGCGUAGAUAUCUGGAGGAAUACCGGUGGCGAAGGCGGCAUCCUGGACCGAGAUUGACACUGAUGAGCGAAAGCUAGGGGAGCAAACGGG
rnacentral:rRNA from 1 species